rfam:Izhakiella sp. D4N98 NODE_16_length_109482_cov_105.999_ID_3435, whole genome shotgun sequence.
CCCCGCAGUAGUAAGCUGCGGGGAUUCUUAUUCGAUUGCAACAAGGGGUCUGCCCGUG